rnacentral:rRNA from 1 species
UGAACUCCACAUCCGCAUCCUUUGCUGAGGAUACGGUUAACGGAGCGAAAGCGACGUUCAACCGCAAAACAAGCAGAGGGGGCUUAGUGGUGGGGUGACUGCGUACCUUUUGUAUAAUGGGUCAGCGACUUAUAUUCUGUAGCAAGGUUAACCGAAUAGGGGAGCCGGAGGGAAACCGAGUCUUAAUUGGGCGUUAAGUUGCAGGGUAUAGACCCGAAACCCGGUGAUCUAGCCAUGGGCAGGUUGAAGGUUGGGUAACACUAACUGGAGGACCGAACCGACUAAUGUUGAAAAAUUAGCGGAUGACCUGUGGCUGGGGGUGAAAGGCCAAUCAAACCGGGAGAUAGCUGGUUCUCCCCGAAAGCUAUUUAGGUAGCGCCUCGUGAAUUCAUCUCCGGGGGUAGAGCACUGUUUCGGCUAGGGGGCCAUCCCGGCUUACCAACCCGAUGCAAACUGCGAAUACCGGAGAAUGUUAUCACGGGAGACACACGGCGGGUGCUAACGUCCGUCGUGAAGAGGGAAACAACCCAGACCGCCAGCUAAGGUCCCAAAGUCAUGGUUAAGUGGGAAACGAUGUGGGAAGGCCCAGACAGCCAGGAUGUUGGCUUAGAAGCAGCCAUCAUUUAAAGAAAGCGUAAUAGCUCACUGGUCGAGUCGGCCUGCGCGGAAGAUGUAACGGGGCUAAACCAUGCACCGAAGCUGCGGCAGCGAACGUAUCACCCAAGACAACUUUACGGAGUUGACGAUUGACGGAGCGAAGCGACGUCAAAGCGUUCAUUAAAGUCGAGUUGGCUUAGGGAUACGUUCGUUGGGUAGGGGAGCGUUCUGUAAGCCUGUGAAGGUGUGUCGUGAGGCAUGCUGGAGGUAUCAGAAGUGCGAAUGCUGACAUAAGUAACGAUAAAGCGGGUGAAAAGCCCGCUCGCCGGAAGACCAAGGGUUCCUGUCCAACGUUAAUCGGGGCAGGGUGAGUCGACCCCUAAGGCGAGGCCGAAAGGCGUAGUCGAUGGGAAACGGGUUAAUAUUCCCGUACUUGGUGUUACUGCGAAGGGGGGACGGAGAAGGCUAUGUUGGCCGGGCGACGGUUGUCCCGGUUUAAGCGUGUAGGUGUGUGUUCCAGGUAAAUCCGGUUCACUUUAACACUGAGGCGUGACGACGAGGCACUACGGUGCUGAAGCAACAAAUGCCCUGCUUCCAGGAAAAGCCUCUAAGCAUCAGGUAACAUCAAAUCGUACCCCAAACCGACACAGGUGGUCAGGUAGAGAAUACCAAGGCGCUUGAGAGAACUCGGGUGAAGGAACUAGGCAAAAUGGUGCCGUAACUUCGGGAGAAGGCACGCUGACACGUAGGUGAAGUGAUUUACUCAUGGAGCUGAAGUCAGUCGAAGAUACCAGCUGGCUGCAACUGUUUAUUAAAAACACAGCACUGUGCAAACACGAAAGUGGACGUAUACGGUGUGACGCCUGCCCGGUGCCGGAAGGUUAAUUGAUGGGGUCAGCGCAAGCGAAGCUCCUGAUCGAAGCCCCGGUAAACGGCGGCCGUAACUAUAACGGUCCUAAGGUAGCGAAAUUCCUUGUCGGGUAAGUUCCGACCUGCACGAAUGGCGUAAUGAUGGCCAGGCUGUCUCCACCCGAGACUCAGUGAAAUUGAACUCGCUGUGAAGAUGCAGUGUACCCGCGGCAAGACGGAAAGACCCCGUGAACCUUUACUAUAGCUUGACACUGAACAUUGAGCCUUGAUGUGUAGGAUAGGUGGGAGGCUUUGAAGUGUGGACGCCAGUCUGCAUGGAGCCGACCUUGAAAUACCACCCUUUAAUGUUUGAUGUUCUAACGUGGACCCGUAAUCCGGGUUGCGGACAGUGUCUGGUGGGUAGUUUGACUGGGGCGGUCUCCUCCUAAAGAGUAACGGAGGAGCACGAAGGUUGGCUAAUCCUGGUCGGACAUCAGGAGGUUAGUGCAAUGGCAUAAGCCAGCUUGACUGCGAGCGUGACGGCGCGAGCAGGUGCGAAAGCAGGUCAUAGUGAUCCGGUGGUUCUGAAUGGAAGGGCCAUCGCUCAACGGAUAAAAGGUACUCCGGGGAUAACAGGCUGAUACCGCCCAAGAGUUCAUAUCGACGGCGGUGUUUGGCACCUCGAUGUCGGCUCAUCACAUCCUGGGGCUGAAGUAGGUCCCAAGGGUAUGGCUGUUCGCCAUUUAAAGUGGUACGCGAGCUGGGUUUAGAACGUCGUGAGACAGUUCGGUCCCUAUCUGCCGUGGGCGCUGGAGAACUGAGGGGGGCUGCUCCUAGUACGAGAGGACCGGAGUGGACGCAUCACUGGUGUUCGGGUUGUCAUGCCAAUGGCACUGCCCGGUAGCUAAAUGCGGAAGAGAUAAGUGCUGAAAGCAUCUAAGCACGAAACUUGCCCCGA